GCGGGUGUAGCUCAGUUGGUAGAGCGCGACCUUGCCAAGGUUGAGGUCACGAGUUCGAGUCUCGUUACCCGCUCCA
rnacentral:tRNA from 2 species